rnacentral:rRNA from 1 species
GGCGGCGAGUGGCGAACGGCUGAGUAAUACAUCGGAACAUGUCCAGUAGUGGGGGAUAGCCCGGCGAAAGCCGGAUUAAUACCGCAUACGAUCUGUGGAUGAAAGCGGGGGAUCGCAAGACCUCGCGCUAUUGGGGUGGCCGAUGGCGGAUUAGCUAGUUGGUGGGGUAAAGGCCUACCAAGGCGACGAUCCGUAGCUGGUCUGAGNNNNNGACCAGCCACACUGGGACUGAGACACGGCCCAGACUCCUACGGGAGGCAGCAGUGGGGAAUUUUGGACAAUGGGCGCAAGCCUGAUCCAGCAAUGCCGCGUGUGUGAAGAAGGCCUUCGGGUUGUAAAGCACUUUUGUCCGGAAAGAAAUCCUUUUCGAUAAUACCGAGAGGGGAUGACGGUACCGGAAGAAUAAGCACCGGCUAACUACGUGCCAGCAGCCGCGGUAAUACGUAGGGUGCGAGCGUUAAUCGGAAUUACUGGGCGUAAAGCGUGCGCAGGCGGUGAUGCAAGACCGAUGUGAAAUCCCCGGGCUUAACCUGGGAACUGCAUUGGUGACUGCAUCGCUAGAGUAUGGCAGAGGGGGGUAGAAUUCCACGUGUAGCAGUGAAAUGCGUAGAGAUGUGGAGGAAUACCGAUGGCGAAGGCAGCCCCCUGGGUCAAUACUGACGCUCAUGCA